rnacentral:misc_RNA from 1 species
GAAUUGCGAUAUCUAAUGUGAAUUGCAGAAUUCAGUGAAUCAUCGAAUCUUUGAACGCACAUUGCGCCCCCUGGUAUUCCGGGGGGCACACCUGUUCGAGCGCCAUUACAAACCUCAAGCCUUGCUUGGUGAUGGGCCCCGCCCGCGCGGCGGGCCUGAAACUCGUGGGCGCCCCAGGCCGGACUCUAAGCGUAGCAAAACCCUCGCUUUGACGACCGGUCAGAGGCCGCCCCGGACCCCAAAUUUUAUCAAUGGUUGGCCUCGGAUCAGGUGGGGAUACCCGCUGAACUUAA